AUAUGCUUCAGACAGGGUUUUAGUGCCUAGUCCACAUAGUCUGAGGCUGUGCAUAUAAUAUGCAGGCAAUGGAAGAACUGCUGAAGACUGCAAAAUGUGAAUAGUGAGAAAGGGCUAAGGUAUGUCGAGGUCCCUUGAACAACACUCCUCAAGUGGGGUGAAGCUUUUUAUGUGGA